GACGAACGCUGGCGGCGUGCCUAAUACAUGCAAGUCGAACGAACCGCGACUAAGUGCUUGCACUAAGUCAAGGUGAGUGGCGAACGGGUGAGUAACACGUGGGUAACCUACCUCAUAGUGGGGGAUAACAGUCGGAAACGACUGCUAAUACCGCAUAGGACAUAGGAUCACAUGAUCCAGUGAGGAAAGGUGGCGCAAGCUAUCGCUAAGAGAUGGACCCGCGGUGCAUUAGCUAGUUGGUAGGGUAAAGGCCUACCAAGGCGAUGAUGCAUAGCCGGCCUGAGAGGGUGAUCGGCCACAUUGGGACUGAGACACGGCCCAAACUCCUACGGGAGGCAGCAGUAGGGAAUCUUCCGCAAUGGACGCAAGUCUGACGGAGCAACGCCGCGUGAGUGAAGAAGGUCUUCGGAUCGUAAAGCUCUGUUGUUAGAGAAGAACAGCGCAUAGAGUAACUGCUAUGCGUGUGACGGUAUCUAACCAGAAAGCCACGGCUAACUACGUG
rnacentral:rRNA from 1 species